rnacentral:rRNA from 1 species
GCCCUGAUCACGAAACACAGUAAUAAAAUGAAUCUGGAGAGUUUGAUCCUGGCUCAGAACGAACGCUGGCGGCGUGCCUAACACAUGCAAGUCCAACGUGAAAGGGGAGCAAUCCCCCGGUAGGGUGGCAAACGGGUGAGUAAUACAUGGGUGAUCUACCUUAGGGAUGGGGAUAUCCUUCCGAAAGGAGGGGCAAUACCGAAUAUUGUCCGGAGCCGUGAA